CAUUGAAUUAAAAAAAACUGAACUCCAUUUAAUCAAUCCAGAUUUUUAAAAAAUGUAUUUGCUUAGCAACAUUUGUGUGUGUAUGUGUGUAACUAAAAGUAAAAAUGUAAUGACGUCAUAACCACAGACCUAGAUAUAAUAUAUAUAGGUCAGUGGUUAUGACACUGUUGAUCUACUUGUAAAUGAAAUAAAUAUUUGCAAUAAUUGAUAAAAUGCAUAAAAACUUUAGCGGCUUUGUGAGAGGAACAAAAAAUAUUUAUUAUUUACUGACAUUGCCUUUUUUUUUUAAAGCAUAUAUUUAUUUGAUAUUUUUUUUAAUUAUUAUUAUUGUAUAUUAACUAUUGACGUUUAUACACCAAAAUAAUUAUAUUACAAAUAUUUUUUUAAAUAGUAUUGCUCUUAUACAUCAAUAGCAUUUCAGGAUUUCUUAAAAGAAGAAACUCUAUGCAUGGAUAGUUGAUCAGCUUGUACAAUGUUGAAAAUCAAGCUAGCGUCUUACAUUUCACAGAAAACAAAUGCUCGGGGUGUUCUGAAACAUAACUUUAAACGUUGUAUUUAACAUUUUAAUUGCUGUAUUAGAGUCUUAUUUUGGAAAUUAAAAAAAACCUAUUUUCCCUGCGACAAAAACAACAACAACAAACAAACAAUAAUCUUUCUAAUAAUAAUUAGGAUAAAAUAAAAUGUAUUUUAUAACUUAAUGCUGUAAUUCUUAACCUUAUAUUGCCAUUUAUUAGCAUUGUAGACUUGACUAGGGUACUGAGGGAGAAACACAUCUUAAGAUAUAUCGACAUUGCCACCAAAGAAUUCGAAAUUACUGUUUUAUUUAUUAUACAAAUACUAUAGCUAUUACUGAGUGUAAGACACAAUUUUAAAAUCUUUCACCUUCCCACCAAAGAAUGUGAACUAAAUAAUAGAUAUAUUCUUUAAAUAUAGAGAUAUACUUUUAUGUUUUCUUGUUUUAAUUUUUGUUCUUUUUUUUUAGGUAGUGCUUUGGCUCUUUAAUUCAAUUUAAAUUGUUAUAUUUAGAUUUUUUGUUAAAUAACUUUAUGCUGGU